rnacentral:rRNA from 1 species
AUUGAACGCUGGCGGCAGGCUUAACACAUGCAAGUCGAGCGAGCGGCGGACGGGUGAGUAAUGUCUGGGAAACUGCCUGAUGGAGGGGGAUAACUACUGGAAACGGUAGCUAAUACCGCAUACCAUCAGAUGUGCCCAGAUGGGAUUAGCUAGUAGGUGGGGUAAUGGCUCACCUAGGCGACGAUCCCUAGCUGGUCUGAGAGGAUGACCACCCACACUGGAACUGAGACACGGUCCAGACUCCUACGGGAGGCAGCAGUGUGGAAUAUUGCAAAAGGGGCGCAAGCCUUAUGCAGCCAUGCCGCGGGUGUGAAGAAGGCCUUUGGAUUGUAAAGCACUUUUAGCGAGGAGGCGUUACUCGCAGAAGAAUCACCGUCUAACUCCGCGUCAGCAGCCGCGGUAAUUC